UGGGCGUAAAGGGCUCGCAGGCGGUUUCUUAAGUCUGAUGUGAAAGCCCCCGGCUCAACCGGGGAGGGUCAUUGGAAACUGGGGAACUUGAGUGCAGAAGAGGAGAGUGGAAUUCCACGUGUAGCGGUGAAAUGCGUAGAGAUGUGGAGGAACACCAGUGGCGAAGGCGACUCUCUGGUCUGUAACUGACGCUGAGGAGCGAAAGCGUGGGGAGCGAACAGGAUUAGAUACCCUGGUAGUCCACGCCGUAAACGAUGAGUGCUAAGUGUUAGGGGGUUUCCGCCCCUUAGUGCUGCAGCUAACGCAUUAAGCACUCCGCCUGGGGAGUACGGUCGCAAGACUGAAACUCAAAGGAAUUGACGGGGGCCCGCACAAGCGGUGGAGCAUGUGGUUUAAUUCGAAGCAACGCGAAGAACCUUACCAGGUCUUGACAUCCUCUGACAAUCCUAGAGAUAGGACGUCCCCUUCGGGGGCAGAGUGACAGGUGGUGCAUGGUUGUCGUCAGCUCGUGUCGUGAGAUGUUGGGUUAAGUCCCGCAACGAGCGCAACCCUUGAUCUUAGUUGCCAGCAUUCAGUUGGGCACUCUAAGGUGACUGCCGGUGACAAACCGGAGGAAGGUGGGGAUGACGUCAAAUCAUCAUGCCCCUUAUGACCUGGGCUACACACGUGCUACAAUGGACAGAACAAAGGGCAGCGAAACCGCGAGGUUAAGCCAAUCCCACAAAUCUGUUCUCAGUUCGGAUCGCAGUCUGCAACUCGACUGCGUGAAGCUGGAAUCGCUAGUAAUC
rnacentral:rRNA from 1 species